rnacentral:rRNA from 1 species
UCUAGGAAGAUGAUGACGGUACUAGAGGAAUCAGCAUCGGCUAACUCCGUGCCAGCAGCCGCGGUAAUACGGGGGAUGCGAGCGUUAUCCGGAAUUAUUGGGCGUAAAGCGUCCGUAGGCGGCCGAGCAAGUUUGUUGUUAAAGCGUGCAGCUCAACUGCAUAAGGGCAAUGAAAACUGCUUGGCUAGAGUGUGGUAGGGGUAGAGGGAAUUCCCGGUGUAGCGGUGAAAUGCGUAGAUAUCGG